rnacentral:rRNA from 1 species
GCUUUUGCGGUAUGGGAUGGGGUCGCGUCCUAUCAGCUUGAUGGCGGGGUAACGGCCCACCAUGGCUUCGACGGGUAGCCGGCCUGAGAGGGCGACCGGCCACAUUGGGACUGAGAUACGGCCCAGACUCCUACGGGAGGCAGCAGUGGGGAAUAUUGCACAAUGGGCGCAAGCCUGAUGCAGCGACGCCGCGUGCGG